GAUUCUGUGUUUCUAUGACUGACUUUUCCAACCACAGGGUUGCAGGUGGCUUUCCUGGGUGCAGCUGUUACUGCCGUCCUCACCUCUGUUAGCACUCAGAGAAAUGAAGGGUACCUAUGGAGGAACCACAGUGCCAGUGACUUCCAGCUGUUCAGUGUCCCCAUGUUGUUGGGGCACACACAUGGAAACAGGACCAUCUCUGCAUGGCAUGCUGGGCUUCAUGCACAAUUUCCGUCUUGAAGUUGCUGGGCUACGUGCGCUGAGGAGGAGAGGGAAUUUCCCUUCACCCCACUCUAAACAAUGCAGUUCUUCACAACCAAGAAGAGAUGCUAUCACGAGUGAUAAAGAUGAUCUGUGUGCAAUGGAGAAGCCUCCGAGAGUGAUUCAUGGGACCUAAAGGAGGCAGGCAGCCUGUCUGGAGCUGAGCAAUAGGAACACGAGGCGCAGAAAUGCAGAUGGAAUUUAGCCCCAGUGGUUUAAUAUAAAAGAUCUGCCAGUGUCCAACCCGCUGCUUGGGUGGUUCUUCCAGUGGUAGUUUGUGGUUUCAGUUAUUACUUUCAACAAAAGAAUGACGAUAAUAAAGUCUAAAUUAGUCUUAUGAGGCUCAUAAAAGUUAUAUUCUGUACCAGCUUUGUGUUAGGCACAACCCAGCGGCUUUUAUUUGUGUGAAUGUCCUCAACUUCUGAAAUAUGCACAAUACGUGGAGACACUGGAUUCUACAAGAAACACAAAGACGAAAUCCACAUUUAUUCUGCAUUAAAACACUUGAUGUUAAAUGUCAAAGGCUUGCCAGUAUAAAAUGUUUCUUGCAAACAAAACACUUCAGAUAGAGCAGAAACAAAGUUUUGCUUUGAAUUUACAGCUUGACGCUAUUUUCAAAAAAAAAGCAGCUAUGCUCACAUGACUAGCAGAUAGGCCAGAACAAAAUGAGAGGUUUAGAUAAAUUAUGCUCUUAUGCCAGCUAUUGUGAAAAUCUGAAAACCUACGCAUGCUUGUAAAUAAAUCACACUUACAUGGAAGGAGAUCUCUAAAUACAGUGUGAUUCAUGCAGCUUGAGUAUACAAGAAUAUGCACGACACUGUGCAUUGCAUAGUGUUGGAGUUUCUUUCAGCAUUACUUAUUAACAGACUUGAUGUAUGCAGCAUUUUGAGGAGGCUUUGGUAAGAGCACUGGGGAAUGAGAGUGGCUGUCUACCUGGCAGAUUUUGAGGGAUAAACAUCUGAGUGUCACUUUACUUUCCUUCUCAGUAGCAACUAAUCAAUCUAAUAAUUACCAAAAGGACAUAGUAAAAACUUAGAACAGUCUAAUUGCACUCAAUAAGGACAGAAAUAUGUGGCUAUCCACAGAACAAUGUCCUGGAGGUUUUGAAUCUGCUCACUAUUGUAACAAAGGUCAUCUUCUAUUUUUUUUUUUUUUUGAUUCCUUAUAGUUAUGAAUACUCAGAAAUGAAUUGCUUACAGGCUUAAAGUUAAGUGCAUGCUAAGUGCUUUGCUGGACUGCUGCUUUGCUUAAGUGCUUCGCUACGUUCUCAGUAGACUGUGGACUCAAAUCCUCAUCUGUCUUCCCUGUGAUUUUGGUAUUUAAUCACAUACUCUGUGUCUACAAGACCCUGCAGGAUGAUGGACUCAGCAUCCUGUGCAGCUCCACAUCCUUCUGUAAGAUCUUCCGAUGCCAGGUCAGCACAUGGUUCUGUGCAGAUAUGUAUUUCCACAUCUCCUGGGGCUUGUGUGCCCUCAACCACACCAGGGAGAGUAGAGGUAAGUGGGCUGCCACAGCCCCUCUUGAUGGGGGUCCUGAGGCUGUUGAUAUGAGACAGCAGAGAAGCAGUCCAAGGCACACAGAUCUUGAUUUGAAGCUUGUUAGAGCAGGGAGGUUUCUUGUCCAUUGCCUUCUGAGCGUUUAGAGUCUCAGAUGAGCUCUUGUCAAAAACAAAUGCUCAAAGACAGCACUGACAUGUCUUAUACAUUUUUCACAUUAUUCCAUGGUAAUGAAGACUAUAAACAUCCUUUAUUCAAAGCUGAAAGAUGAGAUUUGGGAAUGCAAAUCUUUGGCAAAUUUGGUAAGGAAGUUGCCUGGAGCAUUGAAUUUGGCUGAUGAGCAUAGUUGCAGGCUUGCGAGCCAGAAAGGGGCAGUGUCAGCAAACACGACAGGGAAAAGCAAAGAGCUCAGCUUUGCACACAUCUACCCUGGGAACCUGCUUUUGGCCCCAUUCAUCGAUCAGCACAUGCUUGAAUGCUUCCUUAAACUGGUGCUCUGAAACAACACAAACCAUGUGCUCCAAGGGAGGAAAGGAACUCCUGAGACUUCUGCAGCCUGAAUUUUGAGCAUCAAACACUAACAUCAUUAAUUGCUUCCAACCGAGCUAGCAGAGCCAGAGUGAUGCGCACACAUCUGUGCAUGAGCAGCUCACAUUGAAUGCAUUUAAGAACAUUGGGGCAAGCCUAUCUGGAAGGCCAGUAACAUUCACUAGGCAAAUCAGCCGCUGCCAAUUAUUCACUGUGCUGUAAUUCAGAACACUGUCCUUAUGUUAGAGAUUUCGUGAUCAUGGCCCCAAUUCAGAAAGACUCUGGCUCUGCACGGGGUUUCUGCAUAUGAAGGACACCUAUUUUCAUUGGAGGAGGCAACUGUCAGAUUUUGGCCCCCGUGAAGUUUGUUUGUGAAAGGAAAAUUUUAAAUCCAUUCUUUGACUUGGAAAACAACUGAGUUUGUGACUCAUCUUGCCAUUUGAAGAGACAAAUUAAUGAACUCUAAUAACACA